rnacentral:lncRNA from 1 species
GCAUCUAAUAAGUGCCGACUCUCUGCCAAAUACUAGUAGAUUCGUGCCAGUGUGGUCCUGAAGCAGAAACACACAGACAGACAACUCCAAAGCCUGGGAUGAAACCACCUCUGUGACUGCCCUUGAGCCUGCCGGCAAGUCCACCUUGCCCUCACCUUACUAUCAGUUUCACUUCCCAUCAUCCCACCGAUGGUCAGCACACAGGGACCCAGCAUUUGCGCGCCCAGAGGCUCACAGUGUGGGGCUUGCAAACCACUGCGGCUCCUGUUUCACAGAUGGAGAGACAGCGCUUGAAUCAGGGCAGACUUUGGACCUUGCAGGCCCCAGGAUAACCACUCUUUUGACGGCCCUGGGAUGGCGAGGAGAGGCCGAUGUCCAUGGGAGCCAGACUGCAUCAGUGCUGAUCAGAGGGACAGACCCACAGCCCUUCCCUCAAGCUCGGGGCAGGGCGGCCAACUCAAUGGGUCCUCAGAAGAGAGGGCCCGGCCUGGGGACCUCACAUGGAGCUCAGCCACGGACAGUUCCUCCGAAAUAUCCUUCCGCCCCAGUCUGGAAACCAGCCAACCUCUCCCAUGCUGCCUGGGCCUUGGCCAACCCCCUACCACCUGCCACCCCCGGCCAGACAUUGAAAACCACAAGAACACCACAGUGGCUGUGGGGAUCUGGAUUCAACUCAUAACUGGCUCUGAGGGGCCUGGGAGAGUAGAAUGAACUCCCGGGUGCUGGCCAGGGUCAGUAACCAGCUGGACACAUUCCCUGGCCAGGACUGAGGUGCCUAGAACCUGCUGCUGAGUCAUAGGAGUGAGAUAUUCCUGGGCCAAGCUACAAGGAAACUCCUUCUCCGGGGCUCCCUGUUUUGGCAGCCUGGUUAAUGAGUCACCUGCUGGUCACAUGCCUGGGGAACCCAGCUUGGGGGCUCCCUCACAUGCCAGGGUUACCUCAGUGCCAGAGAAGGUGGGCAGGGAGUUUUUUAUGUACUACUUGAAAAAUUGACUUCUUCAGAAAAGAACCAAGUAAAACGUAGCAAUCAUUUGUGUUUCCCACCCAGAUUUAACCACUUCUAACAAACUUACGCAGAGUCAGACACGAUUGAGUGACUGAACUGAACUGAACUGCACAGACUUAUUUACCUCUAGUCUUUUGAAAAAUGUAUUUACUUUCCAUCAAGCAUAAAAUGAGCAUAUUUAUUUCUUAUAAAGAAGAAAGAGCC